GUUGGGUGUGGUGGUGCGUGCCUGUAAUCCCAGCUACGUGGAAGCUGAGGCAGGAGAAUUGCUUGAACCCGGGAGGCAGAGGUUGCAGUGAGCUAAGAUCGUGCCACUGCACUCCAGCCUGGGUGAUAAAGCAAGACUCUGUCUCAA
rnacentral:SRP_RNA from 1 species